rnacentral:rRNA from 1 species
UACGGGGGGGGCAAGCGUUGUUCGGAAUUACUGGGCGUAAAGGGCUCGUAGGCGGCCAACUAAGUCGGAUGUGAAAUCCCCAGGCUCAACCUGGGAACUGCAUCCGAUACUGGAUGGCUUGAAUCCGGGAGAGGGAUGCAGAAUUCCAGGUGUAGCGGUGAAAUGCGUAGAUAUCAGGAGGAACACCGAUGGCGAAGGCAGGUCUCUGGGCAUUAACUGACGCUGAGGAGCGAAAGCAUGGGGAGCGAACAGG